rnacentral:rRNA from 1 species
UGAGUGGCGGACGGGUGAGUAACGCGUGGGCAGCCUGGCCUGUACAGGGGGAUAACACUUAGAAAUAGGUGCUAAUACCGCAUAACGGGGGAAGCCGCAUGGCUUUUCCCUGAAAACUCCGGUGGUACAGGAUGGGCCCGCGUCUGAUUAGCCAGUUGGCAGGGUAACGGCCUACCAAAGCGACGAUCAGUAGCCGGCCUGAGAGGGCGGACGGCCACACUGGGACUGAGACACGGCCCAGACUCCUACGGGAGGCAGCAG